rnacentral:rRNA from 1 species
UACGAAGGGGGCUAGCGUUGUUCGGAAUCACUGGGCGUAAAGCGCACGUAGGCGGAUUGUUAAGUCGGGGGUGAAAUCCUGAGGCUCAACCUCAGAACUGCCUUCGAUACUGGCAAUCUCGAGUCCGGAAGAGGUUGGUGGAACAGCUAGUGUAGAGGUGAAAUUCGUAGAUAUUAGCUAGAACACCAGUGGCGAAGGCGGCCAACUGGUCCGGUACUGACGCUGAGGUGCGAAAGCGUGGGUAGCAAACAGG